GACAGAGGGUGCAAACGUUGUUCGGAAUUACUGGGCGUAAAGCGCGUGUAGGCGGUCACGCAAGUCAGGUGUGAAAGCCCAGGGCUCAACCCUGGAAGUGCACAUGAUACUACGUGGCUGGAGUACUGAAGAGGAGAGCGGAAUUCCCGGUGUAGAGGUGAAAUUCGUAGAUAUCGGGAGGAACACCAGUGGCGAAGGCGGCUCUCUGGGCAGAUACUGACGCUGAGACGCGAAAGCGUGGGUAGCAAACAGG
rnacentral:rRNA from 1 species